GCUCCCCACCAUGAGGAUAAUGGACUAAACCUCAGAAACUUUCUAGGGAUCUGUCCCAGGAGCUGGCCCAUGCUAAGAAGUGAGUCACAAACCCAGGAUUCUGACACUAGGAAGGAGAUUCUUCCUUCACUUUCUUCCAUGGAGUCCCCUGACCCAUGGAGCGGAUGACAUGCAUGUCUCAUUUAAGGCUUGGAUUAACAAUCACAUGUUCUCAACACUUUGGCCAGCCCUAACCUGAAGAAGAAGAAGAAGAAGAAGAGGAGGAGGAGGAGAGGAGGAGGAGGAGGAGGAGGGGACCUGCCUAUCACCUUACCAGGAAUCUUGACUGAAAAGCACUAAACAAAAUGUCCUGUGAAGGAAGGAGCAUGUAUGAAGUUAAAUGGAGUCUCCAAGAGUGGGUCAAGCUUCUGUCCUGAUUGUUUGCCCUGGAAUGUUCAUUGAGAUUAAGAGCGAAGAGAAAGAUAUUGAAUUGGACAAGCACAGACACUUGUUCUCAGCCAUAUGAGGAAGGUGAAAACUGAUUUCAUAGAAGGGGGCACCCCACAGAAAGAACCUACCUCACACAGGAGGAGAUGAAGGAGUGUUUCUCCAGACAGAGACCAAAUAUCUUGAUUCAGCUGAGCCUAGAGGAUCAGCCAACUGCCUCAAGAAAGUGGACUCGGCAACUAAGAGCUGAGGACCGAACCCAGGGCAAGUGCUCUACCACUGAGCUAAAUCCCCAACCCCUUCUCAUUUCCUUUUGUAAUGGUAAUGUAUAUUCUGUGCCACCGUAUGGUAGAAGUGUAUACUUUGCCCUUUUAUUUUACAUUGGGUUACAUUUAAGAAAUCCUGUAGUUCUGUGUCUGAUAUCAAAUGGCUUAGAUGGAUCCAUUUUUCCAUAUUUGCUGCCUACAACAUUCUUCUCUUUCUUGGUCUUGUUCCAUUCCCUAUCGGCAGCUCUCCUUUGUAGAUAUCCCACUGCUCUGGUACCUCUAACAUCUUCUUCAUACAAUGGCCUCUCAGGGCCUCCAUGAUGGGACUCUCCUGCCAUAUUACUGGCCUCAAUUGCUCUCCUUAACUUAGGAAUAUUCCAAAACCCUUUUAUUCGUGUAUCCUUCAUGAUUCUAAAGCCAGAACCACAUAGACAGCAUUGCUGAGUUUGACUGCCAACUUUGGAGUGAACCCUGGCACCCUUGAAUCACAUUCAUAGCAGGUUUGAUUAGUGUUACAUUUUAGGGCCAGGAAAUUCCUUGUUUCUUUCCACAAGUUGGAAGCUUAGCUGGGUGUGCUCUUGCUUUGAGGGAACCCUCCCUUUAUUCCUUUUCAUACCAGGCUUCUCAUUAAUUGUAUCUCUUUCAGCACAAGCCUUGGCCCCAACAUUAAAUUUUCUGGUGUUCCUUUUCACUUCAAACCACAUUUUGUAUUUCUUUUUGCUCCACUUUUUCUCUUUCUUUGUAGACCUGCAAUAUUAGGCUAUCUUGAAAUCUUCUCUAAUAAAGAAAUUAGUCCAUUACUUUUCAAUUUAGCCUCUGGCAACUUCUUAGGACAAGGGCAAUAGGCAGCCAAUAUAUCACAAAAUUCUCUCUAGCCAAGUUAUUAGUGUUGUUUCCUGUAGCUAGAGUUUUCCUGCCUUGCCCACAGUCAGGACAAAUCUUUGUUACCCGCCAGUCCCACAGCCGCUC